ACAACAGCAGCAAGCAAAAAAAAAAAAAAAAAAAACAAACAGACUUCAACUAAGAACUUAAAGAACAACCACAAACGUAUUAAGUACAUAUAUUAAUGAAUAUAUGAAUAUAUUCUACGCCAAUUUUAAAGUCGAGCUCAGAAGAGAGCGCACGUCGUCGUCGCCUCAAUAACUGAGACUCUCAUAAAAAAAGUCUGCAGGCAGCAAUCAAGAAAAGAAAAGAGGAAUUUCUCAAUAAUAUGCUUAAAUAAGCAAAAAAAGGCAUAAAAAGGAAAAAUAAAAGUGCGAUCUUAGUUUUACAUAAAAGAAUUCAUUAAAUUUCCCACGGUUACUUUGUGUUUAAAUUUUUUGAAUGUGAACAAAUGGAGAUGAGAAAUUAAAAAAGUGGAAAGAAGAAAAGCAAUUAAAAAAAAUACAAGUGUGAAAAUUUAACGUAGUUCGCGUGUUUUUUCAUCAAAGUUUUUUAAGAAAGUGUUGUACGAUAUAUCGUAUAAGAGAUAUACAGAAUCAUCGGUAAAGAAAUUCACGGGUUGUUUCUCAAUGCUCAACGUUUGAGUUUGCGAAAGCAAAGGCGGUCUGCGAGACGAUAUACCACAAGGUUUUUUUUACAGAAUUUACAGGGCGUUACGAAUUGGGGACGCACUACGAAACGAAGACAUUUAGAGAAAAAAAUUAAAACAGAUAAAAAGAGAACACCAAACGGACUUCCAACGAUUUCAAAGUACGACGAAAUAUUUUUUAGAACAAAACCAAAAUAGUAAAUUCCGGUUAACAACAACAACACCAAAGAACAAACAACAACAACAACAAAAGCAGCAACAACCAAUUUGCCAAAGGAAGAGCCAUUAAAACAAUUCUAUUUUCAUCAAAUCUUCAUAAGAAGAGAUAUUUGAUUAAGGGCAAGAUACAAGAAUUUAUACAAAGAAAAGAUCACAAAGAAAGAUCACACGAGAAAGAAUAACAGAGGUUGGCUAAAGAGCAUCGACGAAAGAGAAAGAGACAGAAAGAGAAAGCGAUCAGCUGCUUAGUGAUAUUUUAUAACACAAAAUAUCAGUUAAGGACAAACAAUUAUAAGAUUGAGUAAACCGAGCGAGCAAUCGAAUAGCUAUCAUUUAUCACGGGAGACAGCCAGUAGGACGAAAAAGUAUA